UUGGAUUCUUGGGCUUGUGGUCAAAACUU
rnacentral:piRNA from 1 species